UAACUUUGUUUCUAGUUGUUUGACUUGUCAGCAGGUCAAGGCUGAGCAUCAGCAACCAACAAGACUAAAGAAUUACUAUGGAUUUUAUCACCGGUCUACACGAACCCUUAGAGGUUAUGACUAUGUAUGGGUGAUUGUCAGAUCGAUUGACAAAAUCAGCACACUUUUUGCCAGUGAAGACUACAUAUAGGGGAGUAAGAUAUGCACAAAUAUUUAUGAACAAAAUUGUCUGAUUUCACGGAGUUCCAGUAUCCAUCAUCUCUGAUAGAGGAUCACAAUUUACUUCACGCUUUUGGAAAUCUUUUUAAGAAGCAUUAGGUACAUGAGUAGAUCUUAAUACUGCAUUUCACCCAUAGACAGACGGGCAAUCAGAACAUACUAUACAGAUCUUAGAGGAUAUGUUGAGAGCUUGUAUUCUUGAGUUUGGAGGUAGUUGGGACGCUUAUCUAACUUUAGCUGAAUUUGCUUACAACAAUAGCUUCCAUUCCAGUAUUCAAAUGGCACAGUACGAAGCACUGUCAUUCUCCUAUCGGAUGGUUUAAAGCUGGUGAGAUUAACUUAUUUGGACCCGACUUAGUACAAGAAGCUAUUGACAAGGUCCAGUUGAUUAGACAGAGAUUACUCACAGAUCAAAGUAGACAAAAGUCUUAUGCAGAUAAGAGAAGAAGAGAUUUAAUAUUUACAAUUAGGGACAAGGUGUUCCUACGAGUCUCCCCUAUGAAAGGUGUGAUGCGGUUUGGGAAAAGAGGCAAGUUGAGCCCCAGUUUAUAGGACUGUAUGAGAUACUAGACCGAGUGGGAGUUGUGGCUUAUCGUUUCGCACUUCCUCCUGAGUUAUCUUUUAUUCAUCCAGCGUUUCAUGUCUCUAUGCUAAGAAAAUGUAUAUCAGACUCAUCUCAGGCGCUUGAUGUACCUACUAUACCGCUUGAUGAGAUGUUGUCUUACGAGGAGGAGCCGAUGGCUAUUGUUGAUAGACAAGUAAGAAAGCUACAAUAAAAAAAAUUGUGUUCGUGAAAGUCUUAUGGAGAAAUCAUACUGUUAAAGAAGCUACACGAGAAACAGAAGAAGCUAUGCGAGUCAAGUAUCCUCAUUUAUUUCAGUCCACAGGUACGUACCUGAGCUAAAUUCGGGGACCAAAUUUCAUAAGGUAGAGAGAAUGUAAAAUCGCAUAUUUUAGUUAGGGCCUAUUAGUUAUUUACCUAAAUAAAUAGAAUUAAAAAAAUGAAGAUAAACAAAUAAAACAAGACCAACAACAACAAAAAAAAAAUAAGACAAGGGGAUUAGGGCCAAAGCCCAGUACGAGAGUAAAAGAAGCAAAAGGCUUAGGCCUUGAAGCAAUAAAGCUUCGGCAGAAGCCAUUCAAAGGCAAAAGAAAAAAAAACCGAGUACCUAUUUUCAGCGAAGAGAUUUGCAGAUCAGAGAACAAAAAGAGACAGCAGUUGACACGAGCGAGAAUUUUGUUAAUUAGAGUACACGAUUUGAUAGUUCUUGGUGAGCCCCGCACUUGUUCGCGUGGUCAAAGAGUUUAUUUAUUUGUUAUCGUCUUUUCUUAUGAACUCUUAGAGUCGCUCCAUAGUCAUUUUUAUUAGUGUCAUGAGCAUUCGUUCAUUAUAUUGUACUAGUCACUAGUAUUGUAUUUCUUUCCGUAUUUUUGAGAUGAGUUUAGUAUUAUUAUGUUGAUAAGGUUGGUAAUGUUGGUGAAGACCCAUUUUUGGUUAGUUGGUGAAGAUUGUGAUUGAUUUAGGUGAAUAUGGGUUGGUUGUUAUUUGUUUAUGAGAUAGGAAAACUUUUGGAUAGUCCUAAAUUAGGGGAAACUCUGUCAAAUUUUCUGUAAAAUACCGAUGAGGCUUACUUGGGGGCACUUGCUCCCAAGCGCCAGCCGUGAUCCUAAAUUUGGGUCGUGACAAAGUUGGUAUCAGAGCCCUAGGUUAUUCUUGUGACUAAUGGAGCACAUGUCAGUAGUAGAAUCUCAAUUAUGGUUAUGUAACUGGCCAUUCCGAUAAUCGUGAUUCUGCGAGGGCGUGAUAGAUGUGCCUGGUCUUUCUUUCUUGUUCCUCCAUACGUGUGUGAUGACUAGGGUCAAAUAGAUGAAUCUAACACUAUUUAUCUUGUUACCCUAUGGCUCGAGCUUCAUUAUCUGAUAUCAGUAAAGGCUCGAGGUUUAGGGACAUGAAAUGCUGCCUUUAGUAGUCGUCUCUCCUAGCUAAUGGGAAGAGACAAAGGGACAAGGAAGGUCCGUGCCACCGCAAUAGGGUAUCAUACUGCCACAAGACGUGUAAUAGAAUCCAUUCCUGAAGUAAAUACUAAUCCACUACCAUAACUAGGAGAUUGUUAUCAUUGAGUUAACUACCUCUGUGCAGAGGAAAAAUUGAUGUGAUGGAUAUAAUAGAUAGAAACGAGAAGAAUGAGCAACAAAAUAAGGUUCUAGAGGCCUCAUGUACCUAGAAGAUUAUUGAGAACAAAUGAGUAUCAUUAAUAGAGUUCCAAAAAAAAAAUACAAACUCCUAAGUUUACCAUUUUAUUAGUUUGGAGGACUCAUAUGCUCUUCAUGAAUACUUAAGGUAUUAUAAACUCUAGGAUAUUUCAGUGGCAGGUCCGUGAAGCUCGAACUUUACAAACCGGAGAACAUGGCUAGUAAA